rnacentral:rRNA from 1 species
UUAAAAAGCUCGUAGUUGGAUUUCUGCGCGGAUGGGGCGCCCACUGUUUUAAUAAACGGGUUGGGCAGCAACAUCCACGCAUCCUGCCGCGAACCACGCUACCAUUAAUUUGGUGGCGUCUGGGGAUCGGCUCGUUUACUUUGAGAAAAUUUGAGUGUUCAAAGCAGGUAACUCGCCUUGAAAUUGCUAGCAUGGAAUAAUGAUAAAGGACUUUGGUUCUAUUUUGUUGGUGUUCGGAACCGAAGUAAUGAUUGAUAGGGACAGUUGGGGGCGUCAGUAUUCUGAAGCGAGAGGUGAAAUUCUUAGACCUUCGGAAGACUAACAGCUGCGAAAGCGUUCGCCAAGGAUGUUCCCUUUGAUCAAGAACGAAAGUUGGGGGAUCGAAGACGAUCAGAUACCGUCGUAGUCUCAACUAUAAACUAUACCAGCUAGGGAUCGGCCAACGUUGAUUCAUAAAGACUUGGUCGGCACCUUAUGAGAAAUCAAAGCAUCUGGGUUCCGGGGGGAGUAUGGUCGCAAGGCUGAAACUUAAAGGAAUUGACGGAAGGGCACCACCAGGCGUGGAGCCUGUGGCUU